GAGGUGCUGUAGGCUUGCAGGAACCCCGGU
rnacentral:piRNA from 1 species